rnacentral:misc_RNA from 1 species
AAAACCACUCAAGUAGUUUUGCUUGGUUAUGAAAGAAGAGUUUGCUUGCAAAUUCCCUUUCGAAAUUCAAUGGCGGAGAGUCUCAUGAUUCCAGCGUAGUAAUAACUUAUUCGCUUGGUCAUUGUAACAAUCCUGCCUUAAACCCCCAAUUCUAAU